rnacentral:rRNA from 1 species
UACGUAGGGGGCAAGCGUUGCCCGGAUUUAUUGGGCGUAAAGGGCGCGUAGGCGGCUCGGCACGUCCGUUGUGAAAUCGCCCGGCUCAACUGGGCGGGGUCAGCGGAUACGGCCGAGCUUGAGCAAGCUAGGGGGCAAUGGAAUUCCCGGUGUAGUGGUGGAAUGCGUAGAUAUCGGGAGGAACACCAGUGGCGAAGGCGGUUGCCUGGGGCUUGCUGACGCUGAUGCGCGAAAGCGUGGGGAGCGAUCCGG